AAUACGUGAGUAACCUGCCCUUGACUCUGGGAUAAGCCUGGGAAACUGGGUCUAAUACUGGAUACUACCUCUUACCGCAUGGUGGGUGGUGGAAAGGGUUUUACUGGUUUUGGAUGGGCUCACGGCCUAUCAGCUUGUUGGUGGGGUAAUGGCUCACCAAGGCGACGACGGGUAGCCGGCCUGAGAGGGUGACCGGCCACACUGGGACUGAGACACGGCCCAGACUCCUACGGGAGGCAGCAGUGGGGAAUAUUGCACAAUGGGCGGAAGCCUGAUGCAGCGACGCCGCGUGAGGGAUGACGGCCUUCGGGUUGUAAACCUCUUUCAGUAGGGAAGAAGCGAGAGUGACGGUACCUGCAGAAGAAGCGCCGGCUAACUACGUGCCAGCAGCCGCGGUAAUACGUAGGGCGCAAGCGUUGUCCGGAAUUAUUGGGCGUAAAGAGCUCGUAGGCGGUUUGUCGCGUCUGCUGUGAAAGCCCGGGGCUCAACCCCGG
rnacentral:rRNA from 1 species